GACGAACCGUGCGAACGUUGUUCGGAAUCACUGGGCUUAAAGGGCGCGUAGGCGGGUCGGCAAGUCCGGGGUGAAAGCCCCCAGCUCAACUGGGGAAGUGCCUUGGAAACUGCCGGUCUCGAGGGAGGUAGGGGCAUGCGGAACUUCCGGUGGAGCGGUGAAAUGCGUUGAUAUCGGAAGGAACGCCGGUGGCGAAAGCGGCGUGCUGGACCUUUUCUGACGCUGAGGCGCGAAAGCCAGGGGAGCGAACGGG
rnacentral:rRNA from 1 species